UCUUCAGAAGUGCAAUUGAGAUGCUACAAGCAGAGCUGAGUGAAUCUGCGUGCAAUUUGGAUUUCUCAUUAGCAGAGAAUGGGUACUCAAAUCAACAGACAACUCCAGCUUGUGAUUUAAUAAAGCAAGGAAUUGAUAUUGUGAGGGUUGACCAUAUGGCCAUUGCUUUGUCAUAGACCUAUAGAUCACCAAUAAUGGACACCGUACAAUCUCUUCCACAACAUCAACAGCUAAGUUUGUUCUGCUAACAUGAUUAAUUAGUUGACUAUUAUGACUCAAAAGAUGUGCAUUUUAUAUUGACGGGUCUGUUUAAAGGAGUUUAUUCAUGACUCGAAGGACUUUAUUUAUGCUUUGAUCUAAUAAGAUAAUCUAGAUACGAUGUAAUUGAAAAUCUAGUGUCAACUGAAUUCAGUUACUAAACUAGCAUGUGUGCCCUAUGAUUGUAACAUCACGAAAAUUCAUCCAAAACUGAGAUCUGGUGAAUGUUAAAAGUGAUGAUAAUAUGGGAGGUAUGUACUUAUUUCAAAUGUUCCUCACUUUAUAUAUAUCAAUCAAAUGAUGUUUAUGUUUAGGCAACUCAACUUCCUGAAAGUUGUCUUUGAUCUUGGCAUGCCUUGUGAUGUGUUUUAUUGAUGGCAUCAUAAAAAGCGUUAUAAGUAUUUUUGUGGAAACUUGCAUAAUACUAUUGCAGCCCACUGUUCAGCUCUUAGAAUUGGGGUCCACUGUCCAAAAGUCCAAACCAGUUUCGAUAAAUUGUAGCCUGUUAGUUUUUAUGCUGUUUUCCUUCUUGCUCUUGCUUACCUAUCUCUAGAAACAUUAUUCUGUUUUUUGUUUUUUCCUUGGCUUCAGAUUAUGCUUUGUUCUGCUGUGAAGCUUUUCCGUGGGGGAAAGAAGGAUACAACUAUAGGCGAGGUAUAUUAUCUGACAUAGUGUUCAAUAAGACUUCAGAAGAGUACAUUGUACAACAGUUAAUUGAGAUUUGUAAGUUUUCUAUAUGAAUGCAGCUCAGUAAAUCAUACGUAGACAUCUGCAAAUUAACAUUAAUCCCACCAGUCCGAAUUAUUUAACUUUCAUGCAUGUGUAGAGUUCUAGGUGACCAGCUAAGAUGCAUGAUUCAAAGUGCAGGGUCUUCUCAAACUUGGUCAAUCUCGAGAAGAUAAAUUAAGAAGAGUAACACUAAAAGUCGAUGAAGCAGAUGUUGCAUUUGCAUUGCAGGGAAUUCGUGUCUUUCGAAAUUGCCUUAAUGCUUGUCAGUAGGAUAUGGCCUUGCGAUUUUUAUUUUUCCUUGGUAUUGGUGGCCGUUCCAUUUUCAGUUAUGUGGAUGCUCUAAUUAUAAAGGUUAGAAGGCAUCACUUAUUUAGUUGUUUCUCGAGAUAUCACUUCCUUAAACUCAUGUUGGUCGUUUAUCUUCAUUCCACUUGUGGAACUUGACACUAUAUAAUGCCUCUUCACUUGUAUCGCUUAUGUUGUUCGUUUUUGUGUCUUCUAUCUUCACAAAAAAUAGCUUCUCAUUCUUCAGACCUAUUUGCAACAAGAAUGCUGAUGCAACUUAUGUUUGAUAUAUGACUGAAGAAAUGCUUUGUAAUUCGGCUGACUGCCAUGAAAUCAUUAUUUUUACUGUACAAAUUAACCAGCUGUUCACUUGUUCAACAAUUUGUUCUAGGGAACCUUUCCUAUGCUAAUGAAAUUUCCCUUUCACAAGCCUUUUUUUUAGCCUUUGCUUGCCUGAUGUUUUGUUUCUGU